rnacentral:rRNA from 1 species
GAACGCUGGCGGCGUGCCUAAUACAUGCAAGUCGAACGGAAUUUAAGAGAGCUUGCUCUUUUAAAUUUAGUGGCGCACGGGUGAGUAAUAUAUAGCUAAUCUGCCCCUUGCUGGAGGACAACAGUUAGAAAUGACUGCUAAUACUCCAUACUCCUUUUUACCAUAAGAUAAAUCGGGAAAGAAUUUCGGCAAGGGAUGAGACUAUAUCGUAUCAGCUAGUCGGUGGGGUAACGGCCUACCGAGGCUAUGACGCGUAACUGGUCUGAGAGGAUGAUCAGUCACAUUGGAACUGAGACACGGUCCAAACUCCUACGGGAGGCAGCAGUAGGGAAUAUUGCGCAAUGGGGGAAACCCUGACGCAGCAACGCCGCGUGGAGGAUGACACUUUUCGGAGCGUAAACUCCUUUUGUUAGGGAA